GACGAACGCUGGCGGCGUGCUUAACACAUGCAAGUCGAACGGAAAGGCUCUGCUUUUGUGGGGUGCUCGAGUGGCGAACGGGUGAGUAACACGUGAGUAACCUGCCCUUGACUUUGGGAUAACUUCAGGAAACUGGGGCUAAUACCGGAUAGGAGCUCCUGCUGCACGGUGGGGGUUGGAAAGUUUCGGCGGUUGGGGAUGGACUCGCGGCUUAUCAGCUUGUUGGUGGGGUAGUGGCUUACCAAGGCUUUGACGGGUAGCCGGCCUGAGAGGGUGACCGGCCACAGUGGGACUGAGAUACGGCCCAGACUCCUACGGGAGGCAGCAGUGGGGAAUAUUGCACAAUGGGCGGAAGCCUGAUGCAGCAACGCCGCGUGCGGGAUGACUGCCUUCGGGUUGUAAACCGCUUUCGCCUGUGACGAAGCGUGAGUGACGGUAAUGGGUAAAGAAGCACCGGCUAACUACGUG
rnacentral:rRNA from 1 species